rnacentral:rRNA from 1 species
UCAGAUUGAACGCUGGCGGCAGGCCUAACACAUGCAAGUCGAACGGUAGCACAGAGGAGCUUGCUCCUUGGGUGACGAGUGGCGGACGGGUGAGUAAUGCCUGGGAAACUGCCCGAUGGAGGGGGAUAACUACUGGAAACGGUAGCUAAUACCGCAUAACGUCUUCGGACCAAAGUGGGGGACCUUCGGGCCUCACACCAUCGGAUGUGCCCAGGUGGGAUUAGCUAGUAGGUGGGGUAAUGGCUCACCUAGGCGACGAUCCCUAGCUGGUUUGAGAGGAUGACCAGCCACACUGGAACUGAGACACGGUCCAGACUCCUACGGGAGGCAGCAGUGGGGAAUAUUGCACAAUGGGCGCAAGCCUGAUGCAGCCAUGCCGCGUGUAUGAAGAAGGCCUUCGGGUUGUAAAGUACUUUCAGUGGGGAGGAAGGCG